rnacentral:lncRNA from 1 species
CAAACAGUAGAGAAAUUGCACUUACUUAUGGAAAUGACUUUUAAACAUGCACAGCAUUUACUGGCACUGCCCGCGCUGAAAUUCUUCGAGGAUUAUACAUGUGAAUAAUUCACCGCGGGCCAAUUAGAACCCACUCUGUCCCUAACCCCCCCCAGCCCCCAUCCCACCCCAUCUUGAUGAUGGCCCAGCCUCCUGCCUCUUCCAGCUCCCCGUCUUUCCCUCUCAUUCCUAGUCCUGCAUGAUGGGAAGUAGGCUGUCACACACACGUUUAAGAGACACCUCAAACAUGGUGACACACAGGUAUGAUAACACCUCAAACAUGUUCAAAUACACACAGACACACAACGUGCAAACUCACAGGGUG